ACUUUACAAGGUCGUGGAUUAUUGUAUAAUUUGCGACCUUAACUUGCGAGAGCAAGCUGAUGGUGCUUAGCCUAUCUAAGCCCCGUCCAAGACCGUAGGUGAAUAAGUUUUCUUAUUCUUAAUAAAAACCUACGUAGAUGGUGAACAGACAGAAUUUUCUGCUUCUGGACACCUUAGGCUCAGAAGAUUGCUACUUGCGAUGCAAGCGGUGAGUUUUUUGAGGUUUUUUGUAAAUUCCACUUCGGUGGAGUGUAUCAGGAGCUAAAACCA
rnacentral:ncRNA from 22 species